rnacentral:tRNA from 1 species
GUGGGUAGAGCUCAGUGUUACAGUGCAUGCCUAGCAUGCAUGAGGUCCUGAGUUCAAUCCCCAGUACCUCCA